rnacentral:lncRNA from 1 species
UUUGCACUCCAGCCGCAGGAGCGAGGAGGAGCCGAGCUAGAUGCACAUGGGCGUGGGGACUCCGGUACCACACCAACCCACAAGGUUAGCAGCUGGAGUUCCGUCUGUUCUCAUCACACGGACAUGGCUGAUCUGUCUCAGUGGUACCUGGGGGCGAAGCAGGGAGCCGGGCAGUGGAGGCCAACAUUGUUACCAAGUUGGCUCUGUUUUAACACAGGGACUGAGCCUUCUGAGCCUCAAGAGUUCCUGCUGCUUCCCAGGUGACGGAAGAGUGGAGAGAUUUGGGAAAGGUCACGACUAGCCUGCAAAGUAGCCUUGCAGAUAAGUAUCAUUUCACCAGCCCGCCUGCUCUCUGCUGGUACGCUGAGAAAGGGGCAGCUCUGGAAUCCCCAAUGGGAGGGAGGAUGGGUGUCCUGUGACUCUGGCUCUUGAAGAUGUCGUUUGUAAGCUUGAACAGGCUCCUUGGGCUUGCAGACACAGGGGAACCUCCUCAGGGUUCCUCCACUCAGGAUCCUCCAGGAUCCUGGGACAGGAGGCUCUAAGAGCAGGUAUGAGAUGUCUCACCUUCCUUGGCUCGGGGUUUGGAGGACAGAUGUAGCAUGACUGUCAGGAAAGAGCAAACCUGAGUCCUGGUGUGGAAUGCAGGCACUCCUUUCUCUCUUCCACCACCCUGGUGACUUGCAGUGGUCCACACAAGCCCUGCACCCUUUGGCCACCUGUUUCUUUGUUGUGGGAGUCACAGGAAG